rnacentral:snRNA from 1 species
UCACUCUUGUUUCUCUUCAGAUCGUAUAAAUCUUUCGCCUUUUACUAAAGAUUUCCGUGGAGAGAAACAAUACGAGUCAAACCUAAUUUUUUGAUGCCCUGCUAAAAUGCAGGGCU